rnacentral:sRNA from 1 species
AAUAUAUAACUCUAUAGAAAUGUAUUAACUACAAAAUCUAGGAAAUAAUGUCAUUUUUUAAAUAUUGAAUAUCUACUAAGUUAUGACUUUCUUUGUCUAAAAAAUGCUUCAGCUUUUGAACAAAAUAAUAAUAAAGAUUAUACUUUAUAACAAAGAAAAUUUGAGUCAAAUUAACAGCAUAAUAUUUUGUUUUUAUGAUUCAGCGUUUUGAAUGCAAAGACCAAAUUACCACAAGAUCUCUAAACUUCACCGACUAAAAACUAAGGGUAAUUAAGUCAUUUUACAAAAAAGAAGAAAAAAAGACGGAGAUAUAUAAAAAUGUGACACGUUUAGGCACUUUUAGAUAAUCUUAUUCUUUUUUAUGCACUUAUGAGGGUGAGGACACUUUUUCCAUUAUUUGACUUUUUUUAAGACAUUUUUACCCCUAACUUAAACAACUACUUUUAUUUUGAAUUUUAACACAAAUUAAAUAUUUUUUCUCUCUUCCACGAUCCUUACGCAAAAUAGAAAAAAAGAUCUCUCUCUCUCUCUCUUUCUCUCUCUCACAUUUGUAGUGCCUUUCUCUCUCCACGUCUCCAUAACUUCUAGGUUUGAUUCCUCUUAUCGAUUAUGACGGCGGCUCACUAAAAAUUGGUGAUAACGAUUCUGCAAAUAAAUGGGAGAAGUUUCUUAAACAAUUCGAUCUCGAUUAUCUCAGGAAUUUGGUAAAAAAUUUUGGUAUCCAUAAUAACAAGUCCAUUUAAAUAUAUCCAUUCAGAAACCUUUUUACUGAUCCAUAUCCAAUCUAUAUACCAUGUCAAUAAUAACAAGAAAUUCGAUUAACCGUGGUUCGUAUAGAAACCAAAGUUCCAUGUCCAUAAGAUCUUGAAGGUGGAGGUCUCUCCAAACUGAAAGAAAAAUCAACAAAUAAUUUUUUGGUAUCUAUAAUAACAAGUCCAUUUAAAUAUAUCCAUUCAGAAACCUUUCUACUGAUCCGUAUCCAUUCUAUAUACCAUGUCAAUAAUAAUAGGAGAUUCGAUUAACCGUGUUUUGUAAAGAAACCAAAGUUCCAUGUCCAUAAGGUUUUGAAGGUGGAGGUCUCUGCAAACUGAAAGAAAAAUCAACAAACAAUUUUUUGGUGUCCAUAAUAACGAAUCCAUUUAAAUAUAUCCAUUCGGAAACCUUUUUACUGAUCUAUAUCCAUUUUAUAUAACAUGUCCAUGAUAACAGGAGAUUCGAUUAACUGAAAUCUCGAUGCUACGUAGAUGAAACGAGUUUGACACAUGAGAGAGAACAAAAAUCAAAUCAAGCCGCCAUUGUUGAAGAUGAAGAAGUUUCUUCUCAUUUUUUACAAAGAUGAAAAGAGAGAGAGGUGAAGAGAGAGAGAGAUGAAGAGAGAGAGAGAUGAAGAGAGAGAGAAAGAGAGAAAACGUGGGUUAAGAGAAUAUUUUAGUUAAGAGGGUAUUUUAGUAAAAAAACAUAGAGAAAAUGCCUAAUCUUUUGAAAGUGCCUAAAAACGGAAAUAAUUUUAAUAAAAUGUUUAAGAGUGUAAUAUUCUCUAUAUAAAAUCGUAAAU